rnacentral:rRNA from 1 species
AUUGAACGCUGGCGGCAGGCCUAACACAUGCAAGUCGAGCGGAUGAAGGGAGCUUGCUCCUGGAUUCAGCGGCGGACGGGUGAGUAAUGCCUAGGAAUCUGCCUGGUAGUGGGGGAUAACGUCCGGAAACGGGCGCUAGUACCGCAUACGUCCUGAGGGAGAAAGUGGGGGAUCUUCGGACCUCACGCUAUCAGAUGAGCCUAGGUCGGAUUAGCUAGUUGGUGGGGUAAAGGCCUACCAAGGCGACGAUCCGUAACUGGUCUGAGAGGAUGAUCAGUCACACUGGAACUGAGACACGGUCCAGACUCCUACGGGAGGCAGCAGUGGGGAAUAUUGGACAAUGGGCGAAAGCCUGAUCCAGCCAUGCCGCGUGUGUGAAGAAGGUCUUCGGAUUUUAAAGCACUUUAAGUUGGGAGGAAGGGCAGUAAGUUAAUACCUUGCUGUUUUGACGUUACCAACAGAAUAAGCACCGGCUAACUUCGUG